AGCUUUAAGAGGCUGGAUUAGAUUCGUCUGAUCCUUCAGGCUUUGUUGACGCUGGGAAGCCAUUUUGGGAUUCUGCAGUGUGGAACAGGAAGAAUGUGCUGUCAACUCUCAAACUUCUUUUGAGUUAUUGGGCAGGAGAUUGCCCCGUCCUGGAACACAAUGCUGAAUUAAAGUAUUCUUCCUUCCUUCUCUGUGGGAUGAAUGAUGCUGCAUUUUGAAAAGAUCCAGGUUUGAAGGUGUACCUCUGCUGCUGUUUUCUGAUCAGUUGUGUAGGUCUGAUAGAUCUGGAGCGUAACUUGGCAACUUGAGUUUGUUUUUAGCUGUGCCAAAGCAUCGAGUUGCUUGCUUGUUCUGCUUUAGUGAGUCUUAUUUUGCAAUUUGUUUCUUAGUAAUUUGGGAUAUGACUGAGUUAUUGUACAGAACAAGUUGAGUUGGAUUUUUCGAUCAUUGCUGGUUUUCAGGGUUACUAGCUUGUAAAGUGAAAACACUCAUGUUAUCUGAAGCAUGUAGAAAAUGCUCAGUAUUUUUAUAAAUUCCAUGUUCUGUUAACUGCAAUUUAGCUAUGUAUGUUCCUCUUAAGUUCAGAAUAAUUCUUUUAAAAAAUAUUUAGUGUGUUGUAAUAUGUGCUCUCCUUUGACAGCCACAGUCUAAGUAAUAAUACAGUCAAAGCUUGCUCCAAGUGCAAUAUAUAGAUGAUCAGAUUUGUAUGUCAGAAUACCUGUGGGUUUUUUUAACAUGUGAUUGAUACAUCUUUCUGAAACACUGUCUUUUGUCCUAAAUCGUGUACUGUAUUUACUUUUGCUUGAAGCUCUUUGCUUUUCAGCCUGUUCUUUUUAAAUUUUAAUGUGGGGAGGUACGUGAAAGAGGCUGCAAAAUGUUAGAUAUUCCCUGUAAGUUAAUUCAGAUUUUGGGGAAUGAGUUUUCAGUGACUAAAAUGAAAUACUAUAGUUAGAUUAGCUUGUAAACUGCUGAAGCAGCAGCAACAAAGUUCUUAAAAUCUGAAGGUGCAAGCUAUUUGUUAUUGGCUGCAUUAACCAUAAUUUAAUGUACUGCACUGAAAAGAGAGUUCAUAGCUCAGUUUGUUUUGAGGAGGCAUUUGGGAUAUACAUAGUUAGCAUAUUAUAGCUCAUAAGUAACCAUAUUGUUUUUAAAAUGCUUAAGAAUAGCAGGUCUUGAUUUUUAAACCAGCACUAUGGAUGUUUUGUUUAUUGUUUGAUCAGUAAUACUAUCCUUUUAAUUCUAAAAUGAAGGCCCAUUUUAUAGACAGUUAUUGCCUGAUGUAUUAUUGCUGCUAGUGUAUUCUUAUAAGAGAUAUGUUCCAGUAGUUCUAAAAGUUGCCUAUUUUCUGUGAACAUCUAAUAUCCUACUCCUUCAAUCCCUUUUCCUUAUCAAAAGUGAAACUAGAGUGGAAUGUAUUCAUAUUCUUUAUCACAACCUGUGAAUUGAGCAGCAAAAGGAAACUGAUGUCCAUGGUUCUGAAUUUGUUAAAAAGAAUAAUAGCAGCUUUGAAAUGUAGCACGUGAGUUGCAUCAACAACUUAUUUAAACAGAACAUCAGGUACCACUUUUUGUACUUCUGAUUACUGCCAUCCCAACAUCCAGACCUGUUAAGAAAAAUAAGUGGAGAUCCCUGCUGCCCCACCCCCAAAAGUCUUAUUUUUGAAUCUUAUUCAAAAACAAAUGUAAAAGUUUUCUCCUGAGCCAUGGACUUCUGUUGAUAAGAUUGUUGAGUAUAGAGAGACACAUUGGAAUCAUUAUGAGGAGCAGAACACACACACACCCAUUUUUAAAAUGUGGCUAUUUUUACUUGAGUGAUGAAGCUAUUGCACUAUAGCCGUGUUCUCACCCAUUUCAUCCUCACAACAACCCUGUGAGGUAGGUUAAGCUAAGAGAUAGUGACUGGCUCAAGGUCACCACCCAGUGAGCUUCAUGGGUGAGUGGGGAUUCGAACCAUGGUCUCUCAGGUCAGAGGCCAACACUCUAACCAUUAUGCCACACUGGCUUUCAUUGUUUUGUCUCCUCUCUAUGCAUUGAGUAAAUGUGGUACUGGAUGUACGAACAGGACUACUGUCUCCUAUGCAAUAAUGUAGGAGUUGGCCACAAUUUUUUAAAAUGUUUCUUGGAUCAUUUGAAUUUAUAAUAUUUUUCUCUGUGCACUCUGUGGCCAGAUAAUUAUUGGUCACAGGACAGCAGAGCAGGUUGGGCUGGCUUAAGCCCUUCUCUGGUCCAAGGCAGGGACAGCAAUUUUGCUAUCCCUUCUGUGCAGGAGGUUCCUGUGCUUAUUCAGUUUUUCUACAGAGCUGCGGGUUUGGAGGCCUUCUUGCUCAUUUCUUCAGACAUUUCAGCCUAUCUUCCCUCUGACAGAAAGGGAAGGAAGAGUGCAGCACCUCACACAUCACUCUUAAGACUUCUAUAACUUCAUAGCCUCGUACCCCACACCUGUUUGACCACAGGCUCAGGAAAGGGAGGACAAGAUGCUGUGGCUUCCAAACCUAUCACAAAACGUUUUAUCCUCUUCCAUAGAAGCGAUGGAUAGGUGCACUGUCCUCUCUGUGGAUGGCUUCGUGGCUGCAUUAAUACCCAUGCCAGCGAUUCCCCAGAAAAAGGAGAAUUCAAGAUGAAUCCUUGAUAGGAAGAAUGGUGCUGGCCUAUCAUAGAUUUGAUCCGGAUACUUCUUUCAUAGAAUCAUAGAAUUGUAGAGUUGGAAGGGACCCCAAGGGUCAUCUAGUCCAACCCCUGCAAUACAAGAAUCUCAACUAAAGCAACCAGGACAGAUGACCAUCCAACCUCUGCUUUAAAACUUCCAAGGAAGGAGAGUCCACAACCUCCUGAGGGAGACCAUUCCACUUCCAUCAAAGCCACCACUGCCAAUUAUUUUGGUGUGAGCUCCCAUUCUUGUACCCAGGCUCUACACUUAGAAGUUAUUUUGAGUGGAUCAGCUAUUUUGGGCUGGGCAGCUGAAAUUUAUGUUGGACUCAUCUAUGAAUUUCUUUUGGUUUCAGCAAGGAUUGUAUCAUCUAGAACUCAUUAAAUAACUUUUCAUCUGGGCUUCUUAAUUGUCAAUAUAUUCUUCAUGUCCAAAGGAACCCCAAAAUGGCACAUUUCUUCUCCAUAUUCCAAUAAUAGGGAUAUUAAAUGAUAGAUUCACUUUUCCUACCGUGGCUACUAGGCCUCCUAUAUACCUUUCUGUCUCUCUACUUUUAGGGAAAGUCCUAUGCAAGACACAGUCCUUCUACAUGGAAAUCUGAAAUAUUCUGCAUGGCUGACCAAGAUUCCCAGACUUAAUGGAAUAUGAGAUUCUGGGCCCUUGACCCUCAUCUCACUGAGUCUUCUCUCUCAGAGCCCAAUCUACCAUCCCUUUGAGAUCAGUCCUGCUUUUAUGCUUCAAAACUGAAAAGCAAUGCUGUCAAGACUGGGAUUGUGAGGAAAACAAUUAACACCAUUCUGACCUCCUGCAGAUUCUCCGCUUCUCAGACUUAUGAAAUAACAUGGAAAGCCAUCCACAGAUCCCAAGAGAGAAACACUCCAUUCCAUUUCUGCCUCUGGUCAGGACAUCUUAGCCUUCUCCAACAGGCUGACCAAGAGCUCAGCAGUCAUUACUCUUAAGAGACAAAUGGCAAUGCUUGAUAACAUUCUUGGGUAGCUUCUUAACAAUAUGUAUAUACUAUUAAAAUUUAAAAUUUAAAUAAUAAAAACAGUUUAAAAAUAAUUAUAAUUAACCGUAUAAGAGAUUAAAACAGUCAACAUCUACAUUUCAUUCUUAUCCCAUCAUCUCACUUAAAAAAUAAAAUUAAGGAGUAAGUUCAUUAUCUACUCUUGCUCUGUUCACAGGUGCCACAUUUGCAACCAUUCCUUAGUCCUGAAAGCUCUUACUGGCCCUCCUUCUGAACCUAUUUGAGUGCUUACCUGGAAGACUGGGUUUUGAGUUAUGUUUAUUUCCCCCAUGAAUUGGGGGCAAGAGCACAAGAGCAUUGUUGGUCAUAGAAAAUGAGUGUAUUUAUUUUCAAGAAGACAAGGUUGUGCUCCACACCAACUCAUCCUUCAUAGCUAACAUUUAUUUGACUUUCCGUAUGAAUUUGUUGGGCUUUCCAUGUAAAAAAAAACCCUGAACAGUUGUCCCACUAAAUUUUGCCCCAAUCUACUUCUCCCAAAGAGAUACUUUGGCAAUAGCCAAGUUCUUUGUGUUUACAUAUUUGCAGAUCUUCAAAUGUCCUUUCUCUUGUUUAUGAGGCUGAGGGUCAUUCUGCUCCUCCAAGGAACAGUGCCUACUUUUUCUAGAAACCUGACCUUUCCGCAGAAGUAUUAAUGCUACUCUAGAUUGCAUUUUCAGGGUAUGCACUUGCAUUUUUUGCAACAGAAGGCUGAAGACAAUACUAGCUAUAAGUGGGAGUUUCCAAUAACCUUGCUGUUAGUUCUCGCUGUGAUUGUAGCUAUACAGAAUAGUCUGAAGAAGGAGCAAAAUAUAUUUAGUUUUAGUUCUUGGAAAGUUGCCAGAUGCCUUGUGUGGGAAAGGAAUCUUAAUGAUUAAACAGCUCAUCUCCAACUUGAGUAAAGGGAGAUGUAUGCAAAUAAUAGCUAUGUGUCCAGUUCCUGUAGAACACAAGUCACAGCUCACUACGUAGCUUGUGUUUGUGCAUGUUAAAGAUCUUUCCCUGGCAAUCUAAGGUUUCAUAUGUGGGGUUUCAGGAGGGUGACGACAGCUGUUCAGCAGCCAGGUCAAAAUUAGAUUUGUUGAUGCAAUGCUGCUUGGUAAGUAACAGUGUCUCUUAGUCUGUGUUUGGGCCCAGAGGGAACUGUAGACAGCCAGGUUUCUCAAUUGUUUCCAGUAUCUCUAGCUGUUGGGUACACUGCUUUGCAGUUUUAUACGAGUAAUUACACUGGUCCAGUUCAGACAGUGCAUUGCCCAGUUGCCAAGCCAGUCAGGCAAUUGGGAGCAUCCCAUUCUCUUACACACCCCUCCCUUAUUAUUCCCUCUUUUCCCUGAAACUGUUGUUUCACAUUGCAUCUGAACCAGCAUUGCAAUAGGUACCUCUAACCUUAGACUCCCCUCAAACCUAUGGCUGGAACCAGAAUUAUAACCUGAUUUCAACUUCUGGUUAUCUUGCAAAUUAAACUUGAUAGUAACUGUGCCAAUUUGGUGAUUAUUAGACAUUGUUUAUUUAUUUAUUUAUGAAUAGUUUCCUAUGAGCCAUCUCAAAACAAUUUCACAAUACAGAAAAAACAUAUAUAAAACAAUUGGAUGUAUAUAUAGAGCACACAUAGUUUUAGAAAAUGCAUGUAUAAAUGCAGUACACUUAUGGACUGGGAUAAAACUCUUUUCUGAGACUCUGUACACAUUCCCAUUUACUCCGGCUCCAGUGCCUUCCCGCUGCUGAUAUUUGAAACUGUACAUACGAUGUUAGCUGCAAUCCAUAUGCAUCCUGUAGUUUCCUGUGAGAUACUGCUGUUUGAUGCAUUAUCUCUCAAACCAGCUUCCAUCUGAUUCGUAAAUGUAAGCUGCAGUUAAGCAGAGAUGUAUAGAUCUGAGAUCUCUGUUGUGCAUGUGCAGAUGACAACUUCAUUGAAUAGGAGUUUUGUGGGGUUGUGGGUGCGAGUAAAUAAACCAGAUAAUGCGCUUAGGGCGAAGACAUCACUGUGCCAAAUUGCACAAAUGUUAAAAUUAGCUGCAAGGUCAUUAACUUUCUGUACUUUGUCAUAGACCUUUUAUAAACGAGUUCCCCAACCUACGUACUCUGUGUUCUCUGUUGGUCAGGUGUUUGGGGCGUUUCUGAGCAUCAACAUCCUCUUCUGGGUUUUGAAGCAAAUUACAGCUAAUUAAUUUUUGUCGUCAAGGCAUUGCAAUCCGGACACAUUCACGUGCGCUGCAUGUGUUCUGAAUGUACUUGUCUGGCAGAACCACCUUACCAUUCCAGCUCCACACUACUGAGCUGUGGUUGUGUGAAUGCUAAUUCUGGACAGAGGCUUUUUACCUUACUGUAUGUGUUUGGCCAUAGCCUGUCCUGUCACUGUCGGAACAGCAAGCACAGAGCACUUCAUUUAAUCUAUGAGGUGCUCAUUUCACAAAUGGAGUGAACAUUUCCUAAUAAACCCCUUUGUCUUCCAGGCCAAAUUAUAGCUAUUAUUAUUAUUAUUAUUAUUACCCCACCCAUCUGGCUGGAUUUCCCCAGCCACUCUAUGUG